rnacentral:rRNA from 1 species
UACCAUGCAGUCGAGCGGUAACAGAUCUAGCUUGCUAGAUGCUGACGAGCGGCGGACGGGUGAGUAAUGCAUAGGAAACUGCCCAGUAGUGGGGGAUAGCCCGGGGAAACCCGGAUUAAUACCGCGUACGCCCUUCGGGGGAAAGCAGGGGAUCUUCGGACCUUGCGCUAUUGGAUGUGCCUAUGUCGGAUUAGCUAGUUGGUGGGGUAAAGGCCUACCAAGGCGACNAUCCGUAGCUGGUCUGAGAGGAUGAUCAGCCACAUCGGGACUGAGACACGGCCCGAACUCCUACGGGAGGCAGCAGUGGGGAAUAUUGGACAAUGGGGGCAACCCUGAUCCAGCCAUGCCGCGUGUGUGAAGAAGGCUUUCGGGUUGUAAAGCACUUUCAGUGAGGAGGAAAACUCUGCGACUAAUACUCGUAGGGCUUGACGUUACUCACAGAANAAGCACCGGCUAACUCCGUGCCAGCAGCCGCGGUAAUACGGAGGGUGCAAGCGUUAAUC